AGUGAACGCUGGCGGUAGGCCUAACACAUGCAAGUCGAACGGCAGCACAGUAAGAGCUUGCUCUUACGGGUGGCGAGUGGCGGACGGGUGAGGAAUACAUCGGAAUCUACUUUUUCGUGGGGGAUAACGUAGGGAAACUUACGCUAAUACCGCAUACGACCUACGGGUGAAAGCAGGGGAUCUUCGGACCUUGCGCGAUUGAAUGAGCCGAUGUCGGAUUAGCUAGUUGGCGGGGUAAAGGCCCACCAAGGCGACGAUCCGUAGCUGGUCUGAGAGGAUGAUCGGCCAAACUGGAACUGAGAAACGGUCCAAACUCCUACGGGAGGCAGCAGUGGGGAAUAUUGGACAAUGGGGGCAAGCUUGAUCCAGCCAUACGGCGUGGGGGAAGAAGGCCUUCGGGUUGUAAAGCCCUUUUGUUGGGAAAGAAAAGCAGCAGGUUAAUACCCGGCUGUUCGGCCGUAACCAAAAGAAUAAGCACGGGCUAACUUCGU
rnacentral:rRNA from 1 species